GCCAUGGGGAACAAUCAGCCUCACCCACCUAUGCAGGGCCCAAUAACCACAUUGCUCUUCUGCUUUCAGGUCCUCUAUUUCAUUCCUCUGAGGGCAUUUCUGUGCCAUUGACCUUCUCCCACAAGUCACAAGCCACUCACCCUCAAAUCAGAUACGACUUCCAAAACCUGGAGUAUAAAGAUCAAACAGUUGAGGAAGAUGGCAAAAUGAUGAGCAGCAGAGAAACGGCCUUUCUGAUACCUGGAUUCCAGAUGAUAGAAUAUAACAACGUGAGGAAGAGAAGGAGGAGGGAAGCAGGUCCUGGGAACCAGCAAGGAUCUGAAGAACAUUGGAGCCCACUGGAAGAGUGAAGACAGCAACC
rnacentral:lncRNA from 1 species